GAAAUGGGUUUUCUCUAAAUCAUGUGAAAAUAUAAUAAUCUUAACUAUAACUUUUUGACUGUGCAAGUUUUCUAUCAAUUUUCCAGUUAAAUAUUGAAUGCUAUGACAUGGGGAAUAGAAGACGUCAGGACGUGGAAAGGGAGGAAAAGGAUUGGGAAAGGGUGGAGCAAAACGACACCGUAAGGUCCUCCGUGAUAACAUCCAGGGUAUUACUGUUGGGGAAUAAUCUCAUGUGUCAUUAUUUCCUUUUUAAUUUGUCUCAAAAUAAGUAUUGCUUUUUUUUAUUUGACAACUUUAAAGGUACAAUUAUUGACAUAUUGGUCCUACUUAAUUAGAGGUACAAUCCCGAAGGAUAUUACUGUUGGUUCUAUUUAAUUAAAAAAAGAUAUUGAUAUAUUUUUUAAUAAAGGAUAAUUUGGUAAAUU